rnacentral:lncRNA from 1 species
AUGGGUCCAUAUGUGUGUGAACACGAUAUGUUUGGGGCACAAGGGUGUGUGCGUGCGUGUGUGUGUGAGUCCACUUAUCUGAAUGUGUUUCUGUGUGUGUAUAUGUUUGUUUCUGCUUCCAUCAGGCACUCAGUAGGGGAUCCCAGAGCCAUACUGAGUCGAAGCUUCAGGAGAUGCAGAGACAUAUCUGCAAGGGCCCCAGCAACCAGUGACCUAAACCUACUUGAGAAGCAGUGGAGGACAAAGGAAGAUCCGCACAAACUGAGUCCUGGGUCUGUCUCCCACAAGCAGGACAUCUCAGGAAAGGAUUCCUGCUCCCCAACUCCUAAUGGCCAUAAGGGUGGUCCUGAUUGCUGGGUGACACCAGCCAGAGCAGGGCUUCUCCCCUCCUGAAAGGGGAUGGCGGGAUGUCUGAUGGCAUUUGCCGCAAAAUCCCUCCUGAUUAAUCAGGCUCCUCCAAUUUGUGAGUCAGAAUUUCUUGGGGAGAGAAAUCUGCCUUGAGUGGAAUUAUCCUGAACUCUGAUAUCAAUGCAGGUAAGCUCUUCAAAAAGUAGAGGCAGAUCCUGGGACGCCAGGCUUCCUGGGGCUAGGAAACAAACUGUGUGAGAAGAAAAUGGUUGGACAGGAAAAAAUGCG